CCAUUUAACUAAGCGCCAGAACUUAUGAAUUUCCUCACAUGAUAGCUUAAAUAUAACUUAGUUAUAUUUAAGGUUCAUAGAAAUAGGGUGAUUUAUGCAAAAUAUAGUUAAAGACUUAAGAGCAUUUAUACCUAUGGAGAGAAGUAUGUAAGUUGACGAGGAUGGGGAGUAUCGAAUCUUCGGCGGGUGCCCCACGGUAUCGCACUACCGUUAACGAUUGAUAAAAGCAGAAAGUGAUUUCUGUGACAAAACAAUCCGGUGUAAAAAC
rnacentral:ncRNA from 2 species